rnacentral:rRNA from 1 species
AACGAACGCUGGCGGCAUGCCUAACACAUGCAAGUCGAACGAGACCUUCGGGUCUAGUGGCGCACGGGAGCGUAACGCGUGGGAACCUGCCCUUAGGUUCGGAAUAACUCCCCGAAAGGGGUGCUAAUACCGGAUAAUGUCUUCGGACCAAAGAUUUAUCGCCUUUGGAUGGGCCCGCGUUGGAUUAGCUAGUUGGUAGGGUAAAAGCCUACCAAGGCGACGAUCCAUAGCUGGUCUGAGAGGAUGAUCAGCCACACUGGGACUGAGACACGGCCCAGACUCCUACGGGAGGCAGCAGUGGGGAAUAUUGGACAAUGGGCGAAAGCCUGAUCCAGCAAUGCCGCGUGAGUGAUGAAGGCCUUAGGGUUGUAAAGCUCUUUUACCCGGGAUGAUAAUGACAGUACCGGGAGAAUAAGCGCCGGCUAACUCCGUG